rnacentral:misc_RNA from 1 species
GAUGAAGAACGCAGCGAAAUGCGAUAAGUAAUGUGAAUUGCAGAAUUCAGUGAAUCAUCGAAUCUUUGAACGCACAUUGCGCCCGCUGGUAUUCCGGCGGGCAUGCCUGUUCGAGCGUCAUUUCAACCCUCAAGCUCUCCGGAGUUUGGUGUUGGGGCGCCUGGGGCUUUUCGACCUCAGGGCCCUCAAGUCCAUCGGCGGGACCGCCAGGACACUGAGCGCAGUAGUAUUAUUUCGCUCGGUAGGAUCUUCCACGGCGGGUCGAUCUGGCCGCUAAACCCCCCAAUUCUCACCAGAGGUUGACCUCGGAUCAGGUAGGAAUACCCGCUGAACUUAAGCAUAUCAAUAAGCGGAGGA